GCCCCGAUAGCUCAGAGGAUAGAGCACCGGCCUCCGGAGCCGGGUGCGGCGGUUCGAGUCCGUCUCGGGGUACCA
rnacentral:tRNA from 1 species